UACUCAUGGUGAGGAUACAUACUUAACAACUCUUUAAAUUUUUCUCAAGACUGACACAAAGUCUCACUAUCCUUUUGUGCAAAAGUGGAAAUUUGCCUUUUUAAAGCA